rnacentral:rRNA from 1 species
AGUGAACGCUGGCGGUAGGCCUAACACAUGCAAGUCGAACGGCAGCACAGUAAGAGCUUGCUCUUACGGGUGGCGAGUGGCGGACGGGUGAGGAAUACAUCGGAAUCUACUUUUUCGUGGGGGAUAACGUAGGGAAACUUACGCUAAUACCGCAUACGACCUACGGGUGAAAGCAGGGGAUCUUCGGACCUUGCGCGAUUGAAUGAGCCGAUGUCGGAUUAGCUAGUUGGCGGGGUAAAGGCCCACAAAGGCGACGAUCCGUAGCUGGUCUGAGAGGAUGAUCAGCCACACUGGAACUGAGACACGGUCCAGACUCCUACGGGAGGCAGCAGUGGGGAAUAUUGGACAAUGGGCGCAAGCCUGAUCCAGCCAUACCGCGUGGGUGAAGAAGGCCUUCGGGUUGUAAAGCCCUUUUGUUGGGAAAGAAAAGCAGCAGGUUAAUACCCCGCGGUUCUGACGGUACCCAAAGAAUAAGCACCGGCUAACUUCGUG